CCUACGGGAGGCAGCAGUGGGGAAUAUUGCGCAAUGGGCGAAAGCCUGACGCAGCGACGCCGCGUGAGGGAUGAAGGUCUUCUGAUCGUAAACCUCUGUCAGCAGGGAAGAACGGUCACUGUGCUAAUCAGCAGUGAAUUGACGGUACCUGCAAAGGAAGCACCGGCUAACUCCGUGCCAGCAGCCGCGGUAAUACGGAGGGUGCGAGCGUUAAUCGGAAUUACUGGGCGUAAAGCGCUCGUAGGCGGUAUGUCAAGUCAAGGGUGAAAUCCCCGCGCUCAACGUGGGAACUGCCGUUGAAACUGGCAAACUGGAGUGUGUGAGAGGAUAGUGGAAUUCCAGGUGUAGGAGUGAAAUCCGUAGAUAUCUGGAGGAACAUCAGUGGCGAAGGCGACUAUCUGGAACAUAACUGACGCUGAGGAGCGAAAGCGUGGGUAGCAAACAGGAUUAGAUACCCUAGUAGUC
rnacentral:rRNA from 1 species